AGCGGCGGACGGGUGAGUAACACGUGGGCAACCUGCCUGUAAGACUGGGAUAACUCCGGAAACCGGAGCUAAUACCGGAUAACUUUUCCUUGCAUAAGAGAAAAUUGAAAGAUGGUUUCGGCUAUCACUUACGAUGGGCCCGCGGUGCAUUAGCUAGUUGGUGAGUAACGGUCACCAAGGCAACGAUGAGCCGACCUGAGAGGGUGAUCGGCCACACUGGGACUGAAACACGCCCAAACUCCACGGGAGGCAGCAGUAGGAAUCUUCCGCAAUGGACGAAAGUCUACGGAGCAACGCCGCGUGAGUGAUGAAGGCUUCGGGUCGUAAAACUCUGUUGGGAAGAACAAGUACAAAGUAACUGCUUGUACCUUGACGGUACCUAACCAGAAAGCCACGGCUAACUACGUGCCAGCAGCCGCGGUAAUACGUAGGUGGCAAGCGUUAUCCGGAAUUAUUGGGCGUAAGCGCCGAGGCGGUUCUUAAGUCUGAUGUGAAGCCCACGGCUCAACCGUGGAGGGUCAUUGGAAACUGGGGAACUUGAGUGCAGAAGAGAAAAGCGGAAUUCCACGUGUAGCGGUGAAUGCGUAGAGAUGUGGAGGAACACCAGUGGCGAAGGCGGCUUUGGUCUGUAACUGACGCUGAGGCGCGAAAGCGUGGGAGCAACAGGAUUAGAUACCCUGGUAGUCCACGCCGUAAACGAUGAGUGCUAAGUGUUAGAGGGUUCGCCUUUAGUGCUGCAGCUAACGCAUUAAGCACUCGCCUGGGGAGUACGAGUCGCAAGACUAAACUCAAAGGAAUUGACGGGGGCCCGCACAAGCGGUGGAGCAUGUGGUUUAUUCGAAGCACGCGAAGAACCUUACCGGUCUGACAUCCUCUGCAACUCUAGAAGAUAAGAGCGUUCCCCGGGGGACAAAGUAACAGGUGGUGGCAU
rnacentral:rRNA from 2 species